AGUGAGACUUCUUCCCAUAUUUCUUAAUCUUUGCGGGGCCUUUAUUUGGUCACAGGAAACGCACGAGGCUGUCAAACUGGGAGUGUAGCACAUGCGCAGUGGUGUUUUAUUAAUUAAUGUGAUGAAAUAUCGCGACCAUAGACAUCGCAACGCCAUUAAAUGUGGCAGCUGGAUGAGCAACAGAGUCGCUUCCGUGUUUCGGUUUGUCUGAAUAGUACAGACGGACAGAGAAGAGCUUCCUUCGUCUUCAUACUGUUUACUUCAGGACUCAACAGGUAACAGUGUUGGUAGACAGCGUCCCCUGCUGGUAAGACACUGUACGUGCGACAGAAAAAAUGAGCAUUUGAUAACUUACAGUCAAGAGGCCCGGGGUGGCUAAUCUGGAGGACCGGGACAAUUCCCGGUGGGCCGGUUUGAUGUUUGGGCCGCGAGGACGCACCGUGAAGUCACACGUCCGUGCACACGGUCAGAGGCAAUGACGUACAUAUAUAGCUAUAUAUGUACGUCAUUGGUCAGAGGUGUUUGAAAGAUGAAAACAGGAAGAGCAAGGAUGGUGCGGAGAAGCCCCUCAGAGUCAGAAGAAAGAUCCAGAACCAAGCAGCAGCGAAGAGCCACAUGUCCAGAGUGGGAGAUGUUCAGAGGGAGCUGAUGCCACAUCUGGUCCAGCCGAUGGAAGGUCUUGAAGUUCUCUGACUGAAGACAGUCCUGAUGUUAGUUAGCUGCAUUGUAACUUGCUUGCAAAGGAGGGCUAACCAAUAAACCAGUGGAAAGUUUCGAACAUAACUUUAACUGCUGUGGAAAUUGAAGGGAAAAAACUGGUGUUUACUGUUGUUGCCAGACAAGCAAUCACUUUGCUUUUGUCUUUACACAGAAUUACAACUUGCAUCUCUUUUGCAGUUAAUAUGUUUAGAGUGAGUUCAUUGUACCUUUAGUAGAAGUAUUGUGUGAAUGCGAAAUCCAUUCAGUCUACAUGCAUUUAUAAUGCAAUCCAAAAUGUUCAAAAUACUUGGCAUUCUUUGAUUAUUUUAACAGAAUAUGUUGCAAAUUAAAGUGCAUUCUGCAGUCUGCAGUGAAAUGCAUUUUAAAACUGUCCAUAAUAAUACACUCGGUUUGAGUUCUUUUGUUCAGACAAAUAAAGAUUAAAUAGAUGUUGA